CCCGACUGCUAUUUGGGUGAGGAUAAGCCAUGCGAGUUGAAUGGGAAACCUAAAGUUCCCAUGGCAAACUGCUCAGUAACACAUGAUCAACUUACCCUAUAGAGAAAAAUAACCUCGGGAAACUGAGGAUAAUGUUUCAUAGUUGAAUUGGCUUGGAAAAGUUUUUCGACGAAAGGGGUAAAAAAAAUGGUUUUUAUCCGCUAUAGGAUAGGAUCGUGUUCGAUUAUGGUUGUUGGUGAGAUAAUGGCUCACCAAGCCGAUAAUCGAUAGGGGCCGUGAGAGCGGGAGCCCCGAGAUGGGUACUGAGACAACGACCCAGGCCUUACGAGGCGCAGCAGGCGCGGAACCUCCGCAAUACACGAAAGUGUGACGGGGUUACCCAAAGUGUUCAAUAGAACUGUGGUAGGUGAGUAAUGUCCCCUACUAGAAAGGAGAGGGCAAGGCUGGUGCCAGCCGCCGCGGUAAAACCAGCUCUUCAAGUGGUCGGGAUAAUUAUUGGGCUUAAAGUGUCCGUAGCCGGUUUAGUAAGUUCCUGGUAAAAUCGGGUAGCUUAACUAUCUGCAUGCUAGGAAUACUGCUAUACUAGAGGGCGGGAGAGGUCUGAGGUACUACAGGGGUAGGGGUGAAAUCUUAUAAUCCUUGUAGGACCACCAGUGGCGAAGGCGUCAGACUGGAACGCGCCUGACGGUGAGGGACGAAAGCCAGGGGAGCGAACCGGAUUAGAUACCCGGGUAGUCCUGGCCGUAAACGAUGCAUACUAGGUGAUGGUACGGCCAUGAGCUGUAUCAGUGCCGUAGGGAAACCGUUAAGUGUGCCGCCUGGGAAGUACGGUCGCAAGGCUAAAACUUAA
rnacentral:rRNA from 1 species